CGUACCAGACGGCGUUUGUGUCGUUCGUACUGGACACAGAUGUGGGGGAGGACGCCCUGGACCCUACCUGCCCCUCAUAUGACGAACUCACCAGGGAGAUCGAACAAAACUUGGACGCGUUAUUUGCCCACAUAGAAGGGUAUAAAUCGGCAAAGGUAGUUUCACGGAGGAACGUCGAUUCGGAUAACAACGUGUUCUAGACAAGACUUCCAAGAUGUUUCUCUACUUGUUUUGUGUCAUA